UACAGAGGGGGCAAGCGUUGUUCGGAAUUACUGGGCGUAAAGGGCGCGUAGGCGGCCAACUAAGUCAGACGUGAAAUCCCCAGGCUCAACCUGGGAACUGCGUCUGAUACUGGAUGGCUUGAGUUCGGGAGAGGGAAGUGGAAUUCCACGUGUAGCAGUGAAAUGCGUAGAGAUGUGGAGGAACACCGAUGGCGAAGGCAGCCCCCUGGGCCAAUACUGACGCUCAUGCACGAAAGCGUGGGGAGCAAACAGG
rnacentral:rRNA from 1 species